CUCCCAUCCUGGGGCAGGGUGGUGUCCACUCUUCCCUCCCCAAAGGGAUGGACACAGCUGAGCUGCAAAUCCUGGGAGAUUUUUGGGCCCUGCGUGGAUGUCUUGGUGUGAUCAUGGCAUCGGGUUGUGGAGAGACAAGAUGGAGGGGGACAAGGAGCAGGGGGAAUUCAUGGGAAAGCUCCACGUUACAACUGCCUCCCAUGCAGCCUCUGUGUAUAGAAACAUAUCUGUGAUGGCGGUACUGGGAAAUUCACACUGAGAGCACUGGGACCUCUGAGAUGUCCAACCCAGCCUUCCUGACAGCUUCAAGGCAUGAUUUCCCCUGCCUGCAUGAUAUGUGAAAAUGAAGGAGCAUCUCCAUUGCCAGGGGGACAAGUGAGUGUGCUCUGGGUGUGAAUGGAAAGAGAAACGCCUCUCAGAAAUAACUCAGCAGAGAAGAAAAUGCUCCAUGCAUGGACUCCAAA